rnacentral:rRNA from 1 species
UACAGAGGUCUCAAGCGUUGUUCGGAUUCAUUGGGCGUAAAGGGUGCGUAGGCGGCGGGGUAAGUCUGAUGUGAAAUCCCGGGGCUCAACCCCGGAACUGCAUUGGAUACUGCCUUGCUUGAGUACUGGAGAGGAGACUGGAAUUUACGGUGUAGCAGUGAAAUGCGUAGAUAUCGUAAGGAACACCAGUGGCGAAGGCGGCUACCUGGACAGAUACUGACGCUGAGGCGCGAGAGCGUGGGGAGCAAACAGG